rnacentral:lncRNA from 10 species
UUCUGCCGGGUUUCUCCCUGCGGCUCCUGGGUUGUUGAGACUCUUGUGAAGAUGGCUUGCGCUGCCGCGCGGUCCCCGGCCGACCAGGACAGGUUUAUUUGUAUCUAUCCUGCUUAUUUAAAUAAUAAGAAGACCAUCGCAGAGGGAAGGCGAAUCCCCAUAAGUAAGGCUGUUGAAAAUCCUACAGCUACAGAGAUUCAAGAUGUAUGUUCAGCAGUUGGACUUAACGUAUUUCUUGAGGUAUGACGUGGUUCUUCACUAUUUUCCAUACUCAUCUAAUUGAUGUAAUAACUUUCUUAAGUCCUGUUUUUCUUUUGUUUCGUUUAUGUUAGAAAAAUAAAAUGUACUCUAGAGAAUGGAAUCGUGAUGUCCAAUACAGAGGCAGAGUCCGGGUCCAGCUCAAACAGGAAGAUGGGAGCCUCUGCCUUGUACAGUUCCCAUCACGUAAGCUUGUUUAAAUGAAUCAGUGGGGCUCAGGGAUAGGUUUCUCCUACACAACACAAAAAAGGUUCUAAAACUGAAAGGUAAAAGUCAGAAUUUGCAUUCUGAAGAUUAAUUUAAAGACAGGACUACUGCUCAUGGAGAGAAGCAGUAGUUCUAAUUUCUUUGAGGUGAAUGACCUCUUUGAAAA